GGCUUGUUGAUAAUAAUUUCAAGUCUGACCUGCCCAAUGAUUUUAUUAAAUGGCUGCGGUAAAUUGACCGUACAAAGGUAGCAUAAUCAUUAGUUUUUUAAUUGAAAGCUGGAAUGAAAGGUUUAAUGAAAAAAAGACUGUCUCUGUAAAAAUUUAAUUGAAUUUUAUUUUUAAGUGAGAAAGCUUAAAUGUAAAUAGAAGACGAGAAGACCCUAUAGAGUUUUAUAGUUGUGCUUGUUGAUUAAUUAGAAGUAUCAAGGGUUAGUUGUUAAGUAAAUUUAUUUUGUUGGGGUGAUAGAAAAAUUGGGUUAACUUUUUUUAUAUAAAUACAUUUAUUUGUGGAUAUUUGAGCCUGUUUAUGGAUUAUAAGAUUAAAUUACCUUAGGGAUAACAGCGUAAUCUUUUCUAGAGAUCUUAUCGAAGAGAAGGAUUGCGACCUCGAUGUUGGAUUAAAAUAAAUGUUUGGUGUAGAAGCUGAAUAAUUAGGUCUGUUCGACCUUUGAAAUUUUACAUGAUCUGAGUUUAGACCGGCGUGAG
rnacentral:rRNA from 1 species